UUCAUUUUGCAUUUGCAUUUUCUCAGGCUAGUUGCAGACAUGACUGGCGAACGCAAUGGCUAGCUUCGUGAACUAAAAUCCAUACACUGUUAUAUGGCGUGGCAUUUUGAUUUCUUGUAAUCUUAUCUGGCAUUCUUAUCCAGAGUACCUUAAAUUAUUGAUUGCGUACAUUUAGUAGCUACAGUACUUUACAAUUGUUUUUGUUACGGGCAGAGGAAAAGGAAAGGUUGUCAGGUCUUGUUGUGCCAAGAGUGAGACAUAUUUUAACUAUAGCUUACUUUUAUUACAGGUAAGCUUAUACCCUCAAUGGCACCCCGCCCCGAAAGUCACAGACAAUGUCAGUUGAUACAAUGCAGUACACGACUUUAAAUUUGAAGAAACCAAUUGAAAUACCGGAGAAGCAAUCACCACAGGACUAAAAAUAUCUUGACAAUAGUAAAAGACCUGGAGGUAGUCAUUGGUUAGAAUGUAACUUCUGUCAAAGCAAACACGUAAUUCCAUUUGAAAUGUUUCAGUGUUGUCCCAGUGAUGUCUCAUUGUAGCCUAUCACAUUCACAGGACACCUUCCCUAUCACUGGGCGCCUGUGGCGUUCAGCUCCGGGAGCAGGUGGCGUUCAGCUUCGGGGUCUUAAGAGAGCAUUUUGAGCCCACGGAGAGCAUACACCCAUGCUGAUUUUAGACUGGCAGACCAAAUCAGAUUUUUUCCCCCCACUUCGUCUUUUGACUAAUCGGAUCAGCUAGGAAAAAGACCAACUAGUUGAGAACAUAUCACAAUUGGGCUGCCUGUGUAAAUAAAGCCUUGCAUGCAAUGUUGCCUUCACACCUGAGACCAUUUUUGAUUCUCUGCCGUCUUUGUUUCUCAGCCAAGAAAAACAGUGUGAAGGCUGUAUGUUGUAGAUCCCUGGAGCUGGAAAUUGAAUACAAA
ensembl:lncRNA